GUAAGGAAUAUUGGACAAUGGACGGAAGUCUGAUCCAGCCAUGCCGCGUGAAGGAAGAAGGCGCUCAGCGUUGUAAACUUCUUUUGGAUGGGAACAAUAACUUCGACGAGUUCGGAGCUUGAGGGUACCAUCAGAAUAAGCACCGGCUAACUCCGUGCCAGCAGCCGCGGUAAUACGGAGGGUGCAAGCGUUAUCCGGAAUCACUGGGUUUAAAGGGUGCGUAGGCGGUUCGAUAAGUCAGUUGUGAAAUCUCUUGGCUUAACCAAUGAAAUUGCGAUUGAUACUGUUGGACUUGAAUCAGGUUGAGGUAGGCGGAAUGUGGCAUGUAGCGGUGAAAUGCAUAGAUAUGCCAUAGAACACCGAUUGCGAAGGCAGCUUGCUGGGCCUGAAUUGACGCUGAGGCACGAAAGCGUGGGGAGCAAACAGGAUUAGAAACCCCAGUAGUCC
rnacentral:rRNA from 1 species